AGUGAACGCUGGCGUCGUGCUUACCACAUGCAAGUCGAACGAAGAACCGUAACUUGCUGGGUUUACUGGUGGCGAACGGCUGAGUGAUGCGGAAGUAACCGGCAUUUAACUUUUCGUUGGGGAUGACGUACGGAAACUUACACCAAUUACGCACGUCAACCACAGGGUGAAGGAUGGAAUGUUUGAACCUUUUGCGAUUGAAUGGCGCCAUGUCGGAUUAGCUAGUUGGCGGGGGAAAGGCCCAGCCAGGCGACGAAGCCCAGCUGGUCUGAGGGGAUGAUAGGCCACACGGGAACUGAGACACGGUCCAGACUCCUACGGGAGACAGCAGUGGGGAAUAUUGGGCAAUGGGCGGAAGCCUGAUACAGCCAUACCGCGUGGGUGAAGAAGGCCUUCGGGUUGUAAAGCCCUUUUUUUGGGAAAGAAAAGCAGCAGGUUAAUACGCAGCUGUUGUGACGGUACCUAAAGAAUAAGCACCGGCUAACUUCGUG
rnacentral:rRNA from 1 species